rnacentral:rRNA from 1 species
UACAGGGGGGGGCAAGCGUUGUUCGGAAUUACUGGGCGUAAAGGGCUCGUAGGCGGCCAACUAAGUCACACGUGAAAUCCCCAGGCUUAACCUGGGAACUGCGUGUGAUACUGGAUGGCUUGAAUUCGGGAGAGGGAUGCAGAAUUCCAGGUGUAGCGGUGAAAUGCGUAGAUAUCUGGAGGAAUACCGGUGGCGAAGGCGGCAUCCUGGACCGACAUUGACGCUGAUGAGCGAAAGCUAGGGGAGCAAACGGG